AGCAGCCGCGGUAAUUCCAGCUCCAAUAGCGUAUAUUAAAGUUGUUGCAGUUAAAAAGCUCGUAGUUGAAUUUCGGGAUCAAAUUGUUGGUCGUGCUUCGGUACGCACUGGCAUAAUUGGUUUCUACCUUCUGAAGAACCGCGAUGUCAUUAAUUUGGUGUCGUGGGGAAUCAGGACUGUUACUUUGAAAAAAUUAGAGUGUUUAAAGCAGGCGCACGCUUGAAUACAUUAGCAUGGAAUAAUGAAAUAGGACGUUUGAUUCUAUUUUGUUGGUUUCUAGGAUCGACGUAAUGAUUAAUAGGGAUAGUUGGGGGCAUUAGUAUUCAAUUGUCAGAGGUGAAAUUCUUGGAUUUAUUGAAGACUAACUACUGCGAAAGCAUUUGCCAAGGAUGUUUUCAUUAAUCAAGAACGAAAGUUAGGGGAUCGAAGACGAUCAGAUACCGUCGUAGUCUUAACCAUAAACUAUGCCGACUAGGGAUCGGAUGAUGUUAAUUUUUUAAUGACUC
rnacentral:rRNA from 1 species